AACUUUUUGGAAUACAGUAAUGAGAAACAGAACUUCAAUGUGAAUGAGCCUCUUAGAAAGUGAAACUCUUAAUUGUGAAAGAAAUUGAAAAGUAAGAAAGAAAUUUCAACAAACAGGGUGAAUGGCAAACCAAGCUUGGAUGAAAGUGAGAACUAGAGCAAGAAGUGCAGCAAAGAAAGCAAUGAUUGACCAAGGGUUGCUGAAAUAUGUAUGAUAACCAAGAGCAAGCCAUGCCCUGUAUCUCUUCCUGUAAUGCUUUUCAAUUUUCCGUCUAACACCUAAAUAGCUCUCACUGUUAGGCACCAAGUCAGCGCUUAUGGUGUUGAAGAGCUUCGCCACUUCCUCAUCACUCCCAAGUUCAUUGCGCAGAACCUUCGCUGAUCUCAGCUCCUUCACAUCCUCAGGGUGGUCGAUCAGCGAGUCCAUGAAAGCCACAAAGGAACUAAUCUCGAAGUUGUUCUGAAAAUCUGGACACAUCUCAUACGCUAUCAGGUUGUGAAAAGUAGGAGCUGUUGUGUCAUCAACUGUGAUCUCUGGCAGUGUCAGUUCAGCACGCAACCACAUCCAGCGAUAANAGAAGGAGAUGUCACUCAGCUUCCGUGACUUUUUCACCUUCAGUUUAAUCCCUGCAGCUCUCAGCUCCUCUAUGUUCCUGUAUGUCAUCAUGUCCAAAUCAUCAUCUUUUUUCUUGUCCCUUUCCCCGUUUUCUGCGUCACCUUUCUUAUGUUGGGCUUCCUUUUUAGCGUCACCGACGAUGUACCUGCGAAGCUGAUCGAGAAGAUGAAAAGGUGACUCCUUUCUUAUGUCUAUUCUGUGUUCUUGACAAAGGGAGUCUUCAUUCCUAACAUAAACACUUGGGUCCCCAUCUUCAUCCGAUACUCUGAAAAAAAAAGAUACAGUAUUUGAAAUACAAACUACGAGGGACUUGAGACUGAAAGUUAGUAUUUAUACCUGUCUUCGUUUUUCUUAAACUUGGUCGUGCCAUGAAUUUUUUCUCUUUGCUUUGGUGACAAAUGAUGGCACUUAAGAAACUUGUUCAUGCUGUUUAUCAGUGUGUCAUCAUUCUGGUGGCCUGACAAGAGUUUAAGCACUUCAUAGGGAAGCUGAUUCUCUAGCAAAAGCACAUCCUGCCACACAAGAACCAGUUGGUCAACCUUAACAUUCAAGUCUUCGGGACGACUGAGGUUUCCCUUGUCCAGGAUUUGAAGCAGAGAACAUCCGUCCACAAAUAGCAUCCGCGAGAGCUUUUCAUCAUCACCACCGAAGUCUCUGAUAACAUCCUCAGCAUACCGUUCUUUCAAUUGGUUGACGUGUAUUGCAAACUUUUCAUACAGAGUUUCAGCAUCUUGCUGGGUGCUUUCAAGGUACUUUGCUGCCCACAUAAGCUUGUAUUUUUCCCCCAGUUUCAGAUUCGGUUCUCCAUGAUGGAUUGGACCAAUAGAAAUCAACCUGGGGGAGUAAUGCUUCUUCGAAUGCUUUCGAUCUCGGAGAUAAUGUGCUACCUUUUGUAUCUUUGGAACUGUAUUUUGUGGUGUCUCCUUUGCCUUUUUUAGUUCAUGAAAGUUCUGGUUGAGGUAUGGUGUCUCACUCAUGUUAACUGUGCAAUAAUGCUAUAUUUUCAAGGAUUGGUUUGGUGGGUAUAUUUGUGAGUGUUCUAGACAAGUGAAGUUGUUCAUGUUAUUGCAGUUUAAAUUGUAAAAAAUUUACGAGUAAACGAAUCAUAUGAUACACGGAGACCAUUCAUGUAUUAAAUAAGUUACUUAUUUUAAUAUGCUGAUAAAUUUAUUUUAAAAAUAAUAAGAUAUUAUUAUACAUUAUACAUAUACAUGUUGAAAAGUUUGUAAAAAUUCUAAAUAAUAUGAUAAAUAUUGAAUUGUUGUUGUGUGAAUCUAAAUUAAAAUCAUAUAUACAUAAAGAUAGUACUUGAUGCUUUUGUGGAUAUGAUUCUUGGGGUGAAGAAGGAGACAUAGUACUUUAUGCUUUUAGCUUUGUGAAUGUUUGAAGUUUGGAAUGGAUAGUGAGAAAUAGCGUUGAAAAGGGCAUGUAGAAGUGGAUUCAUUGUGCUUUGCUAGUAUUUCAAGUAUGAAUAGAUUCCUGCUGAUAAUUGUUGGUAGGUAAGUAGAAUCACGUUUUUCAUUCAUGAGGCCUUAAUUUGCUUAUAAUUUCCUAUUUUGGAUUCCAUAAGUGAUACUAAAUGUAGUGCUUAUACAAGAUAAAUGAUACUUUGUAUAUAAAUUUUUUUAUAUUUAUUUGAUAUUAUUUUUUUAUUUUUUACUUUUUUUUUAAAAAAAAAUAUAAAAAAAUCACUUUUUUAUAAUUAUUUUACCUAUAAGAUAAGUCAAAUAAAUAUAAAAAUAUAUCAUCUUUCCGUUACACAAAUAAAUUAGAUACAGGUUAUAUACAAAUUAGAAUAUUUUAGAAUACAGAGAUAUAUAUACCUGUUUUCAGGUAAAACUAGUAUGUGGGGAUACUUUUCUUGUUUCUGUUUUUUAGUAAAAAUGAAAAUUAUUAUUUUAUAUAAAUUUGUCAGUAAUAAAAAAUAGAAUAUAAUAUAAUAGUAAUAAAUAGUGUUUAAGGAAUUAUAAUUUAGAGAAUAUGUAUAUUUCUCAAAACAAUAUUGUUAUUUAUUAAAUAUUUUGAAUAUCAAUUUUUUAUAUAAUUUAAAUUAGAUCGUAAGAAUAUUGAAUAGAUUAUAUUUUUAAUAAUAUAUAUAGGUUGUUUUGUUAAAAUAUAGUGUUAGAGUUUGAUAAAAAAGAAAGUAUAAAAGCAUUAGUUUGAGUAGAAACAUGUUCAAAUGUUAUGUAGAUAGUGGAGUCUAACUAUGAUCCACAUGAAUUUUAAUUUUCAAUGGAGAAAAGUCUAAUUGAAUAUAACGUUAGAUGUUUUUUCAUAGUAUGUUUCUUUAAUCUCUAUUAAAAUUUACCAGCUCUAUUAUUUUUAUAAGUAAAUUUAAAACACCGAUUUUUGUGUUUUCAGUAUUUACAUUAUGAGUUUGUUUAAAAGCUUUUAGUGAAGAGACGUAAGCGGUAUAUUCUUCAAAUGCUAAUGGAUUAUGUUAAAUCGAUGCGAAAAACUAAAAUUGAGUGUUAAAGAGUUUUAUUGUGAUAAUGGAUUAAAGAUAGGAAUUGUUAUCCACUUGGCUAUUAAUAAAGAUUUAGUAAAAUUUAGUAUAGAUGUUAGAUUUGAGAUUUUCUCUUUUAUCAUGAUAGAGAAAUAUUUGUUUUAUGAGGUCAUCAUCUUCAUUUUUCUACAAUCUAGAACAUUUAAAUAUUAGUUUUAAUGAUAUUAUAUAUCAUUUGUAUUCCAUGCUUAUACAUUCUUAAACCGACUAUAACACUUCAAAUUAUGGGAUGCCACAAAUUUACAAAAAUUCGAUGAAUUUUAAAAUUUUAUCAUAGGGCAAAAGUGUAUUUUUCAAAAAUCUUAACUUUUUAACAUGUUUAAAAUAUAAUAGUUUCAAAAAUAUUGUCUAAUUACAUUAUUUCAAAAGUAAUUAAAAUAACUAAGGAAAUAAAACAAUUAUAAAUACUUUGUUUCAAAAGACUAUACCAAAAGAACUUUUUAAAUAAACCUGAAUCUUUUCCCGUCAUCUCACGAAUCUAUCUUGCUUCUGGAACAUCUGCAAUGUCAUCUGCUCACGUAUAACACAUUAUACAAUCAUCGUCGAUAAUUUCAUUCACAAAUACAAACAUGUAUGUGGUAAGCUACCGAUAAAACAAUCAUAACAACAAGAUACAUAAAUACUCAUUAUAUCAACUAUAAUCAAACACAAAACAAGAUACAUACAUUCUGAUUAUAUCAACCAUAAUCAAACACACAUCAAGAUACAUACAUUCUGAUUAUAUCAACCAUAAAAAAAAUACAACAAGAUACAUACCUUUUGAUUAUAUCAACCAUAAUCAUGUUGGAGUGCAAACAAAGUCCCACAUUGAGUGAAAGAAGGGCUGGUCAAGGGUUUAUAUACACAUAGAUACCUCCAAUGGUAAGAGGCUUUUUAGAGUGGUACCAAAAAUAAAUCCGUGAGGGUUUGGCCCAAAGCGGACAAUGUCUUACCAUGUGUGAAGAUCUAUGUGUGUCGAACCUCCCCCCAACAAAUCAAAUACCCCAUACAUGGAAGUAAUAACAAUAGGAUUUUAUAUCCUCAUGCAUCAUCGACCCACGAUAAAAUAACUACAAUUUUUUGACAAAGAAAGACUUGAUACAUGAGACGAGAACCAAAGUACAAUGGAAAAUUCUACAUAAACGAAAAACAUAAUCAGAAUAGUUAAUGCAAAAAAAAAGAAUAGCUUGAAUGGAGAGAAAACAAAACAAAUAAUGUUAUUCACUUGUAGGAUUGCAAAAAAUUACAUAAAGAACAAAGAGAAGUUAUCUUUAUAAAGACAGAAAAAAUUGAAAACCAUGCUUGAGGGAGAAGAGCAAACCACUUUGCUCUUUCUUUUCUCCACCUGCAAAUCUAAAACAAGAGUAGGAAAGGGUUUCAGCACCGAUUAUUUUGGAUAUUGUACUUCAAUUCAACAACUGAUGACUAAUUUUCCAUUUCGGUUAUUCUAGAAUUGCAACAUAAAUCCAUAAUGGAAAAUAGAAAUAAAAUGGGGAUUAGGCUUUGCGUUCUUCAACAGUGAAUGAUGUUUGACAGUGGUGGAUGCUUCACGUUCAAAAGUGCAUCUGUGGUUCGCCUUCACAAUGCAAGAAUGAUUGAUGUUCGAUAAAGAAGCAAAGUGAAUUAACAAAUGAAGUAGAAAAAAAAAAUAGAUCUUCGCGUACCCAGUAGUUCAAGAAUUAAAUGCAAUGGUACCUUGUUUAUAGAGGCUUCAUGUUCGAACAUUGAAGCCUAUUACUCUUGUACAGUUAAAAUACAGGAAUAGACUUAGAUUCUACUAAUAAUUUAUGUUUUAAAACAUUUAAAACCAAAAAUUUUCAUUACCGGGUAUCAAUAUCUUCUACUCUUGUACAGUGCAUGCAUUAUUAUAGGACUUUUUUCAUUACAUAUUUUAUCAUGACAUUUGUGGAGCUUUCUUUGUAUAUUCAUUCUCAAAUAUAUACACUUUGCAGCAGUUUCAGCAAAAAGAAUAUUAUUUGAUAAUGACAUGUUAAAAAUAGAAAUGCAUGAUUGAUAAAUUUUAAUAUCAACUUUUUCAGAUAGUUUAAUAAGAAACAGAGUUUUAUUGUGAGCUUCUACAAAUACUUAAUUAUGAUUAGAAAAUAUUAGGAAACACAUAACGAAAUGUUGUGGGAGAGAUUGAAAAGUAAGUAAGAAAUUUCAGCAUUUAGGGUGAAUGGCAAACCAAGCUUGGAUGAAAGAGAGAGCUAGGGCAAAAAGGGCAACAAGAAAAACAAUGAAUGCCCAAGGGUUACGUAAAAUAAGUAUGAUAAGCAAGAGCAAACCAUGUCCUGUAUUUCUUAUGAUGGUUUUCAAUUUGUCCUCUAACAAUUGAAUAGAAGGCACAGUUGGGCACCAAGUCAGCGCUUAUGGUGUUGAAGAGCUUUGCCACUUCCUCAUCACUCCCAAGUUCAUGGCGAAGAACCUCUGCUAAUCUCAGCUCCUUCACAUCCUCAGGAUGGUUAAUAAGCGAGACCAUGAAAGCCACAAAGGAACUAAUCUCGAAGUCGUUCUGAAAAUCUGGACACAUCUCAUACGCUAUCAGGUUGUGAAAAGUAGGAGCUGUUGUGUCAUCAACUGUGAUCUCUGGCAGUGUCAGUUCAGCACGCAACCACAUCCAGCGAUAANNGAAG
rnacentral:lncRNA from 1 species